CGGAGGACUGAGAAGGUGAGGCAGUUCUGAACCAUGCUGCCUUCCACUGGUUAAGACCUCCGAGAGCGAAGGCCUGCAGAGGCAGAGGAAGUCCCUCUGCCGCCCCCAGAGGGGCAGCACUGUGUUGGCCGACACUUG
ensembl:snoRNA